CUGUGCUCCAUCCAGGAACUUGUUUUUUCAGAUUAGCCAGUGUGAUCUGUUUUCUAUUUAUUUUUUAUCACUUAAGCUGCUUUUUUCCUAUGAAUUUAUGUUAAUGUAGAACAGAAUGACAGAAUGUCCCCUCUUUUUCUCUCUCCCUCUUUUUUCCUCCAUAUCUCAAAUUCUCAUAUCUUCCUUAAUGUCCCAGACAACAGAGAGCCUGCUGCUGGUUCUUUCAUACCUGCUUUCUUUGAGAAUGACAGAUCACUUAUUUCCUCAAACAAAAUACCACCAAACCAAAGAGGUUGUCAGAAAAGAGAAUUCUUCAAGUUCUUCCUGUUUGGGAUGGUUCUCCUGGCUCAGUGGUUAAUUGUUCCACCAGAGGAGCUGAAUCUCAUGAAAACCCACCUCCACCUGGAGCGAGGGCCGACCGGUGCCGCCUGGAAGCUGAUGCAAGCAGCUGCCUGCAUUCUAAAGCUAGAAACCACUAUUAAAUAUAGAAAUACACAUUCUAGAAGCAGUUGUCUGGGCUUCCUGCAUCCUCAGCACUUCCACAGAUGUACUAUGUAAAUGAACGCAACGCACGUCUGCAUUAACGUGCAAGAUGUAGUGUAUUAAAAAUGAUUCUAGGCUGGACC
rnacentral:lncRNA from 1 species